rnacentral:rRNA from 1 species
GAAGUGAGUGGCGGACGGGUGAGUAACACGUGGGUAACCUGCCCAGAAGCAGGGGAUAACACCUGGAAACAGAUGCUAAUACCGUAUAACAGAGAAAACCGCCUGGUUUUCUUUUAAAAGAUGGCUCUGCUAUCACUUCUGGAUGGACCCGCGGCGCAUUAGCUAGUUGGUGAGGUAACGGCUCACCAAGGCGAUGAUGCGUAGCCGACCUGAGAGGGUAAUCGGCCACAUUGGGACUGAGACACGGCCCAGACUCCUACGGGAGGCAGCAGUAGGGAAUCUUCCACAAUGGACGCAAGUCUGAUGGAGCAACGCCGCGUGAGUGAAGAAGGGUUUCGGCUCGUAAAGCUCUGUUGUUAAAGAAGAACGUGGGUGAGAGUAACUGUUCACCCAGUGACGGUAUUUAACCAGAAAGCCACGGCUAACUACGUGCCAGCAGCCGCGGUAAUACGUAGGUGG